rnacentral:rRNA from 1 species
AUUGAAUGCUGGCGGAAUGCUUUACACAUGCAAGUCGAACGGUAGAGGGGCAACCCUUGAGAGUGGCGAACGGGUGAGUAAUGUAUCGGAACAUGCCCAGUCGUGGGGGAUAACGUAGCGAAAGUUACGCUAAUACCGCAUACGAUCUACGGAUGAAAGCGGGGGACUCGCAAGAGCCUCGCGCGAUUGGAGUGGCCGAUAUCAGAUUAGGUAGUGGGUAGGGUAAAAGCCUACCAAGCCGACGAUCUGUAGCUGGUCUGAGAGGACGACCAGCCAAACUGGGACUGAGACACGGCCACGACUCCUGCGGGAGGCAGCAGUGGGGAAUUUUGGACAAUGGGCGCAAGCCUGAUCCAGCCAUUCCGCGUGCAGGAAGAAGGCCUUCGGGUUGUAAACUGCUUUUGUACGGAACGAAACGCGCUAGGUUAAUACCCUGGCGUAAUGACGGUACCGUAAGAAUAAGCACCGGCUAACUACGUGCCAGCCGCCGCCGUAAUAC